AUUGAACGCUGGCGGCAUGCUUUACACAUGCAAGUCGAACGGUAACAGGCCUUCGGGCGCUGACGAGUGGCGAACGGGUGAGUAAUGCAUCGGAACGUGCCCAGUCGUGGGGGAUAACGCAGCGAAAGCUGUGCUAAUACCGCACACGAUCUGCGGAUGAAAGCGGGGGACCUUCGGGCCUCGCGCGAUUGGAGCGGCCGAUGUCAGAUUAGGUAGUUGGUGGGGUAAAGGCACACCAAGCCAACGAUCUGUAGCUGGUCUGAGAGGACGACCAGCCACACUGGGAGUGAGGCACGGCCCAGACUCCUAAGGGAGGCAGCAGUGGAGAAUUGUGGACAAUGGGCGCAAGCCUGAUCCAGCAAUGCCGCGUGCAGGAAGAAGGCCUUCGGGUUGUAAACUGAUUUUGUACGGAGCGAAAAGGCUCCCUCUAAUACAGGGGGCUCAUGACGGUACCGUAAGAAUAAGCACCGGCUAACUACGUGCCAGCCGCCGCAGUAAAAC
rnacentral:rRNA from 1 species